rnacentral:rRNA from 1 species
AGCUAAUAGAUACCCAGGUAGUCCACGCCCUAAAACGAUGUCUACUAGUUGUUGGUGGAGUAAAUCCAUGAGUAACGCAGCUAACGCGUGAAGUAGACCGCCUGGGGGAGUACGGUCGCAAGAUUAAAACCUCAAAAAGGAAUUGACGGGGGCCCGCACAAGCGGUGGAUUAUGUGGAUUAAUUCGAUGCAACGCGAAAAACCCUUACCUGGCCUUGACAUGCCACUAACGAAGCAGAGAUGCAUUAGGUGCCCGUAAGGGAAAGUGGACACAGGUGCUGCAUGGCUGUCGUCAGCUCGUGUCGUGAGAUGUUGGGUUAAGUCCCGCAACGAGCGCAACCCUUGCCAUUAAUUGCCAUCAUUUA